AACGAACGCUGGCGGCAUGCCUAACACAUGCAAGUCGAACGAGACCUUCGGGUCUAGUGGCGCACGGGUGCGUAACGCGUGGGAACCUGCCCUUAGGUUCGGAAUAACUCCCCGAAAGGGGUGCUAAUACCGGAUAAUGUCUUCGGACCAAAGAUUUAUCGCCUUUGGAUGGGCCCGCGUUGGAUUAGCUAGUUGGUAGGGUAAAAGCCUACCAAGGCGACGAUCCAUAGCUGGUCUGAGAGGAUGAUCAGCCACACUGGGACUGAGACACGGCCCAGACUCCUACGGGAGGCAGCAGUGGGGAAUAUUGGACAAUGGGCGACAGACUGAUCCAGCAAUGCCGCGUGAGUGAUGAAGGCCUUAGGGUUGUAAAGCUCUUUUACCCGGGAUGAUAAUGACAGUACCGGGAGAAUAAGCUCCGGCUAACUCCGUG
rnacentral:rRNA from 1 species